GACGAACGCUGGCGGCGUGCUUAACACAUGCAAGUCGAACGGAAAGGCCCUGCUUUUGUGGGGUGCUCGAGUGGCGAACGGGUGAGUAACACGUGAGUAACCUGCUCUUGACUUUGGGAUAACUUCAGGAAACUGGGGCUAAUACCGGAUAGGAGCUCCUGCUGCAUGGUGGGGGUUGGAAAGUUUCGGCGGUUGGGGAUGGACUCGCGGCUUAUCAGCUUGUUGGUGGGGUAGUGGCUUACCAAGGCUUUGACGGGUAGCCGGCCUGAGAGGGUGACCGGCCACAUGGGGACUGAGAGACGGCCCAGACUCCUACGGGAGGCAGCAGUGGGGAAUAUUGCACAAUGAGCGGAAGCCUGAUGCAGCAACGCCGCGUGCGGGAUGACGGCCUUCGGGUUGUAAACCGCUUUCGCCUGUGACGAAGCGUGAGUGACGGUAAUGGGUAAAGAAGCACCGGCUAACUACGUG
rnacentral:rRNA from 1 species